rnacentral:rRNA from 1 species
AGUGAACGCUGGCGGUAGGCCUAACACAUGCGAGUCGAACGGCAGCACAGUAAGAGCUUGCUCUUACGGGUGGCGAGUGGCGGACGGGUGAGGAAUACAUCGGAAUCUACUUUUUCGUGGGGGAUAACGUAGGGAAACUUACGCUAAUACCACAUACGACCUACGGGUGAAAGCAGGGGAUCUUCGGACCUUGCGCGAUUGAAUGAGCCGAUGUCGGAUUAGCUAGUUGGCGGGGUAAAGGCCCACCAAGGCGACGAUCCGUAGCUGGUCUGAGAGGAUGAUCAGCCACACUGGAACUGAGACACGGUCCAGACUCCUACGGGAGGCAGCAGUGGGGAAUAUUGGACAAUGGGCGCAAGCCUGAUCCAGCCAUACCGCGUGGGUGAAGAAGGCCUUCGGGUUGUAAAGCCCUUUUGUUGGGAAAGAAAAGCAGCAGGUUAAUACCCCGCUGUUCUGACGGUACCCAAAGAAUAAGCACCGGCUAACUUCGUG